AUAUACUAGCUUCGGGUGUACAUAUUCUAAAAUUGGAAUAAUAAAGAGAAGAUGAGCGUGACUUCUGUACGCAAGGAUGACACUCAAAUUUUUGAAACGUUCUAUCUUUUU
rfam:Octopus bimaculoides Scaffold16502_contig_36, whole genome shotgun sequence.